rnacentral:rRNA from 1 species
GCAGGCCUAACACAUGCAAGUCGAGCGCACCUUCGGGUGAGCGGCGGACGGGUGAGUAACGCGUGGGAAUAUGCCCAGAUCUGCGGAAUAGCCUCUGGAAACGGAGAGUAAUACCGCAUACGCCCUUCGGGGGAAAGAUUUAUCGGAUUUGGAUUAGCCCGCGUUGGAUUAGGUAGUUGGUGGGGUAAUGGCCUACCAAGCCGACGAUCCAUAGCUGGUUUGAGAGGAUGAUCAGCCACACUGGGACUGAGACACGGCCCAGACUCCUACGGGAGGCAGCAGUGGGGAAUCUUAGACAAUGGGGGAAACCCUGAUCUAGCCAUGCCGCGUGAGUGACGAAGGCCCUAGGGUCGUAAAGCUCUUUCGCCAGGGAAGAUAAUGACGGUACCUGGUAAAGAAACCCCGGCUAACUCCGUGCCAGCAGCCGCGGUAAUACGGAGGGGGUUAGCGUUGUUCGGAAUUACUGGGCGUAAAGCGCGCGUAGGCGGACUUUUAAGUUAGAGGUGAAAUCCCGGGGCUCAACCCCGGAACUGCCUUUAAUACUGGAAGUCUUGAGUUCGAGAGAGGUGAGUGGAAUUCCGAGUGUAGAGGUGAAAUUCGUAGAUAUUCGGAGGAACACCAGUGGCGAAGGCGGCUCACUGGCUCGAUAC